rnacentral:rRNA from 1 species
CAGCCGCCGCGGGAAUACGAGGGGGGCAAGCGUUGUUCGGAAUUAUUGGGCGUAAAGGGUGCGUAGGCGGUUUGGCAAGUUUGGUGUGAAAUCUUCGGGCUCAACUCGAAGUCUGCAUCGAAAACUGCCGGGCUUGAGUAUGGGAGAGGUGAGUGGAAUUUCCGGUGUAGCGGUGAAAUGCGUAGAUAUCGGAAGGAACAUCAAUGGCGAAGGCAGCCACCUGGGCCUGUACUGACACUGAGACACGAAAGCGUGGGGAUCAAACAGGAUUAGAUACCCCUGUAGUCCCUGUCUCUUAUAC